rnacentral:misc_RNA from 1 species
UAGAGUUGUAAAACUCCCAAAACCCAUGUGAACAUACCUCUGUUGCCUCGGUGGCCUACCCGGUAGCUACCCUGUAGCCGCCCUGUAGUCCGCCGAAGGACCACAAAACUCUUGUUUUUUUAGUAUCUCUGAGUCAACUAUAAAUAAGUUA